GCAGUCGUGGCCGAGUGGUUAAGGCGAUGGACGAGAAAUCCAUUGAGGUCUCCCCGCACAGGUUCGACUCCUGUCGACUGCG
rnacentral:tRNA from 2 species